UUUUGCUCAUUUAAAAAACAUAUAGCCCCUCUUCGAAAAGGAAAACUAAUUUUAUUUUGUGCCCUUUAACAGUCUUAGGAUGCACAAGAAGAAUAAACUAUACCUUUAAGUGGUUUUUAAGAUUAUUUCAAAUGAGUGAAAUCUAACUGAGAAGCUCUUAUUUAAUUUGUCUUGUUUGUAGUAUUAAAAGCAGUCAGGGUUUCUGUUUAUUUAAAGGAACAUUUUUGGUUUGUACUUUUCAGUCCUAUUGUGCAUGUAAAUUCUUUGAGAAGAAUAUUCAUCCCUUGUGACAUCAUGGGCCACUUUUAGUCUUUUAUUUGAACCCCAACUUUGAGUUAUUUGCUGUGUCUGUUUUUUAAGUAAACACAAGCUUCUUUUUUGAACCUAACACUGCAGAAUUUUGAGAUGAGUGGAGAGUGGUUUUUCUGCUUUCUGUAACAUUUAUGAAGAUUCUCAGCUGACUUAUCCCAUGAGAUGAUUCUUUUUCGUUUCAGACCAUGAUAACAUAUUGUAGUUAACUUUGGAAAUCAUCCAUUCAGUUUGCAAAGUUCCCUUGUAAAUCACAAGUGGUUUUGCAUUGAGAUUUUUAAAUCUAAGAUGCUUAACAUGCUGAUGACUUUACUCUUUCUGAAAAGAAAGCCAAGAUUUUAGACCUUACCAAAACUCUGAUAUCUUGUUUACUUUGCCCAUUUUUGCCCAAAUGGUGUAAUGCAAGACUCAGAACUUCUCAUUGUCAUAUAUAAAAUGAGUGGUGCAUUACUCAACUCAUUUGGGGACCAUGAACAAAUACUAUCAACCAACCAGAACUGUAAUGUUGAAUUAUCGUUUAUCUUUUUCUUUCAUUCAUUCUAUCACAUUUGCAUUAGCCAAAGAGAUAAGAAUAUUAGUAAUUCAUAUGUGUAAACAACCCAGAAGUGAAUAUUAAAUCAGUGAGCCAAAAAGCAAUAAACAACUCAAGCAUGGGAAAACCUGCUAACAGUGGGGAGUCUGAUGUAGAAAAAAUAUAUAAAAAGCAUUAUCUUCAAAUAUGAAAGAUUAAUUUGUAUCUACUGUAAAUAUGUAUUAUCAGCCUUAUCUGCUUUUAUACACACUGUGUGUGUACCUCAGUGACCUUUUAUAAGCCGGAAAAAUGGUUGAUUUAAUAAUUUGUUAUGUAAAUACAAAGUUGUCUAUAAAUUGGAAAAUUUGAUGCCAAAUGGCUUCACAAUAUACAAAUGUGUUUUGUAACAUCAUGCCUUUAUGGAUUAAGUAUAAAUAUACUGGACUGUCUGUGGAGAAGAGUAGCAAUUUACAUUUCACCUGCAUAUCAUAUGGAUAUUUUUGUCCAAAUGGUUAUCCUAUUAGAAAAAGAAAAUGACCUGAACAUUUUCAGUGUGAAAAACAAAUAUGGUUUUGAAUUCACCAAAACUCCUUUUCACACUCAAGAGUCUGUUCAAUUGCGCACUAAAUGCCUUGUUUUAUGAGAUUUCCAUAGGAGAUUCAUUGAUUCAGGAUUGGGAUCUACCUAGGAAACCUCCCCAAACUGAAUAAUUCUACUUUAGAGAUAAGCUGAGCAUCUUAAUCUCUAAAUCACAGGCAGGGGAAGAUCCACAGCUUUCUUACUGCUUUUUAACUUAUUUUCUGCUUUGUUUCCAUACUUCAUGACGAGCCCCACAUAGACAAAGAGGGCCUAGUUCUUGUGCGCCAAGGUGUCUACAGAAUAUCACUUCGACUCGGGGUUCCUCGGCACCAGCACUGUUGAUGUUAGCUGCCUAAGGAGGAGACCACUUAAACAUGUGCAGCAUUUUUUAAAAGCAAAAUUUCUAAAAGAUCGGGGCCCACCAUAAUUCUUCAUAUUACAUUUGUUGAACAAGUUCCGCCCCAGUCGAGCCCAGUUUCUGAAUCUGCUCGCUGGGGUGUUUCUUAGAUGAAUUCUUUCGCCUAUAAUGCCACAUUCAGAAGUGGACCAGCAAAAUGAUGUCCCAAGAAACUAGUCUGGAAGAUAAUAUCUCCAAGUGCACUGGCUGUGGUAACCAGAACAGAAACAGAACUUCCAACCCUUCAACCUCAGAGUGAAGUUAGAACCGACUCUUUAAAUAAGUAAAUCAAUAUGUGAAAAGUU